AUUGAACGCUGGCGGCAUGCUUUACACAUGCAAGUCGAACGGUAACAGGGAGCUUGCUCCGCUGACGAGUGGCGAACGGGUGAGUAAUGCAUCGGAACGUACCCAGUCGUGGGGGGAUAACGUAGCGAAAGUUACGCUAAUACCGCAUACGUCCUGAGGGAGAAAGCGGGGGACCGUAAGGCCUCGCGCGAUUGGAGCGGCCGAUGUCGGAUUAGCUAGUUGGUAGGGUAAAGGCCUACCAAGGCGACGAUCCGUAGCGGGUCUGAGAGGAUGAUCCGCCACACUGGGACUGAGACACGGCCCAGACUCCUACGGGAGGCAGCAGUGGGGAAUUUUGGACAAUGGGCGAAAGCCUGAUCCAGCCAUGCCGCGUGAGUGAAGAAGGCCUCGG
rnacentral:rRNA from 1 species